ACCCGCUGAACUUAAGCAUAUCAAUAAGCGGAGGAAAAGAAACCAACAGGGAUUGCCCUAGUAACGGCGAGUGAAGCGGCAACAGCUCAAAUUUGAAAUCUGGCUCUUUCAGGGUCCGAGUUGUAAUUUGCAGAGGGCGCUUUGGCGUUGGCAGCGGUCCAAGUUCUUUGGAACAGGACGUCACAGAGGGUGAGAAUCCCGUACGUGGUCGCUAUCCUUCGCCGUGUAAAGCCCCUUCGACGAGUCGAGUUGUUUGGGAAUGCAGCUCUAAAUGGGAGGUAAAUUUCUUCUAAAGCUAAAUACUGGCCAGAGACCGAUAGCGCACAAGUAGAGUGAUCGAAAGAUGAAAAGCACUUUGGAAAGAGAGUCAAAUAGCACGUGAAAUUGUUGAAAGGGAAGCGCUUGCAGCCAGACUUGCCUGUAGUUGCUUAUCUGGACUUUUGUCCGGUGCACUCUUCUGCGGGCAGGCCAGCAUCAGUUUGGGCGGUUGGAUACAGGUCUCUGUCAUGUACCUCCUUUCGGGGAGGCCUUAUAGGGGAGACGACAUGCAACCAGCCUGGACUGAGGUCCGCGCAUCUGCUAGGAUGCUGGCGUAAUGGCUGU
rnacentral:rRNA from 1 species